AGGUUCUCCUCCUCCUCCAAGAGCAUCCUCUGCCCUCCGGAAGGCUGGCCUGAGGAUUUGGAAAAGAAAGGGGACAUCUGGGGCAGGGUGACCCUUAGGGGGUCCUCCUUUUUGGUCCAGGAGGCCUCCUCCCUCGCAGCCUUCUCUCCAGGAGGAAGGAAAGGAUGCUCCAGGACCUCCCUUUGGAGCAGCAGCAGCAACGGAUGGGAUUUGCAGAAGGGUCUCUGCUUUUGAGCUUUUUGUGGGACUGACAUCCGCAGCAUCAGGACCAGCCGCAGAGAGGAGGAGAACAACAACACCUAUCGCCCACGAGCAGCCGCUGGACCAGAGGACAGGGAUGCAGCUCAAGGGGGAGGCACCACAACCGAUUUGCUGCACAAGAAACCCAAAAGAGUAUCUUGUUGACACAAUCGUGCCAAAAAAAAGUGAUUCCGUUGGCAUAAUGAAAAGAUCCAGUUUUAUAGUGGGAACGAGGGACCUUUUGCAAUCGAUUUUGGAAUCGGAGCGAAGCCGAAUCGGAAAUCGCAUUAUACUGCCAAUGGGAAUGAGGUCUUGGGCUGGAUUGGGCCUCUUGCUCAAGAUCAAGUCACAAGAAAGAAUGGCAGUGCUUUCCAGGAAGGCCUGGUUCAGAAGCCCCAUCACAGGAGACAGAAAAAUGACAGUGGAGUAGAAAAGCCUUAUUAUGGAUGGAGAAGAUGCCUAUUCUAGCCCAAGUAGAGAACCAGCAUGGCAUGUUGCUUUGAGCGUUGGACUACGACUCUGGAGACCAGGGUUCAAUCCCCAGCUCAGCC